rnacentral:rRNA from 1 species
GAUGAACGCUAGCUACAGGCUUAACACAUGCAAGUCGAGGGACCGGGGCACGGGUGAGUAAGACGUAACCAACCUGCACUUAACUCGGGGAUAGCCUUUCGCAAGAAAGAAUAAUACCCGAUGUAAAGGAUGGGGAUGCGUUCCAUUAGGUUGUUGGUGAGGUAACGGCUCACCAAGCCUUCGAUGGAUAGGGGUUCUGAGAGGAAGGUCCCCCACAGUGGAACUGAGACACGGUCCAAACUCCGACGGGAGGCAGCAGUGAGGAAUAUUGGUCAAUGGGCGUUAGCCUGAACCAGCCAAGUAGCGUGAAGGAUGAAGGCUUAUGGGUCGUAAACUUCUUUUAUAUAAGAAUAUGUAUUAUAUGAAUAAGGAUCGGCUAACUCCGUGCCAGCAGCCGCGGUAAUAC